rnacentral:rRNA from 1 species
AGUGAACGCUGGCGGUAGGCCUAACACAUGCAAGUCGAACGGCAGCACAGUAAGAGCUUGCUCUUACGGGUGGCGAGUGGCGGACGGGUGAGGAAUACAUCGGAAUCUACUUUUUCGUGGGGGAUAACGUAGGGAAACUUACGCUAAUACCGCAUACGACCUACGGGUGAAAGCAGGGGAUCUUCGGACCUUGCGCGAUUGAAUGAGCCGAUGUCGGAUUAGCUAGUUGGCGGGGUAAAGGCCCACCAAGGCGACGAUCCGUAGCUGGUCUGAGAGGAUGAUCAGCCACACUGGAACUGAGACACGGUCCAGACUCCUACGGGAGGCAGCAGUGGGGAAUAUUGGACAAUGGGCGCAAGCCUGAUCCAGCCAUACCGCGUGGGUGUAGAAGGCCUUCGGGUUGUAAAGCCCUUUUGUUGGGAAAGAAAAGCAGCAGGUUAAUACCCCGCUGUUCUGACGGUACCCAAAGAAUAAGCUCCGGCUAACUUCGUG